rnacentral:rRNA from 1 species
UGGGGAAUAUUGCACAAUGGGCGCAAGCCUGAUGCAGCAACGCCGCGUGAACGAUGAAGGUCUUCGGAUCGUAAAGUUCUGUUGCAGGGGAAGAUAAUGACGGUACCCUGUGAGGAAGCCCCGGCUAACUACGUGCCAGCAGCCGCGGUAAUACGUAGGGGGCUAGCGUUAUCCGGAUUUACUGGGCGUAAAGGGUGCGUAGGUGGUCUUUCAAGUCGGUGGUUAAAGGCUACGGCUCAACCGUAGUUAGCCUCCGAAACUGGAAGACUUGAGUGCAGGAGAGGAAAGUGGAAUUCCCAGUGUAGCGAUGAAAUGCGUAGAUAUUAGGAGGAAUACCGGUGGCGAAGGCGACUUUCUGGACUUUUACUGACGCUCAGGUACGAAAGCGUGGGGAGCAAACAGG